rnacentral:rRNA from 1 species
GAUGAACGCUGGCGGCGUGCCUAGUACAUGCAAGUCGAGCGAACAGACGAGGAGCUUGCUCCUCUGACGUUAGCGGAGGACGGGUGAGUAACACGUGGAUAACCUACCUAUAAGACUGGGAUAACUUCGGGAAACCGGAGCUAAUACCGGAUAAUAUAUUGAACCGCAUGGUUCAAUAGUGAAAGACGGUUUUGCUGUCACUUAUAGAUGGAUCCGCGCCGCAUUAGCUAGUUGGUAAGGUAACGGCUUACCAAGGCAACGAUGCGUAGCCGACCUGAGAGGGUGAUCGGCCACCCUGGAACUGAGACACGGUCCAGACUCCUACGGGAGGCAGCAGUAGGGAAUCUUCCGCAAUGGGCGAAAGCCUGACGGAGCAACGCCGCGUGAGUGAUGAAGGUCUUCGGAUCGUAAAACUCUGUUAUUAGGGAAGAACAAAUGUGUAAGUAACUAUGCACGUCUUGACGGUACCUAAUCAGAAAGCCACGGCUAACUACGUG